rnacentral:rRNA from 1 species
GACGAACGCUGGCGGCGUGCCUAAUACAUGCAAGUCGAACGAGAGCGCCCGGUGCUUGCACUGGUCAAUCUAGUGGCGAACGGGUGAGUAACACGUGGGUAACCUGCCCAUCAGAGGGGGAUAACAUCCGGAAACGGAUGCUAAAACCGCAUAGGUCUUCGAACCGCAUGGUUUGAAGAGGAAAAGAGGCGCAAGCUUCUGCUGAUGGAUGGACCCGCGGUGCAUUAGCUAGUUGGUGAGGUAACGGCUCACCAAGGCCGUGAUGCAUAGCCGACCUGAGAGGGUGAUCGGCCACAUUGGGACUGAGACACGGCCCAAACUCCUACGGGAGGCAGCAGUAGGGAAUCUUCCGCAAUGGACGCAAGUCUGACGGAGCAACGCCGCGCGAGUGAAGAAGGUUUUCGGAUCGUAAAACUCUGUUGUUAGAGAAGAACAAGUGCUAGAGUAACUGUUAGCGCCUUGACGGUAUCUAACCAGAAAGCCACGGCUAACUACGUG